rnacentral:lncRNA from 1 species
AAAGAACACAUACGUCCCAUUGUUUAUAGAUGCAAGUGCGAAAGAGCCUUGGGCAUAUAAACUUGCGGCCUUUGGAACCUUGCUCCAAGGAGUGACGACGCACUGCAUUACAUUCGCGGGUGCGAAUGAAGAAUUGAAUUGGAUUGUGGGACAGGCGAUGUGCCAUGGUUAUGGAGAGCAUUUGAUUUUGAAUAUGUGGGCGGGGGUCUCGGAAAAAUAUAGCUGCAACUUAGGGAGAGGUAGGGACCGGUCUGAGACGGGUGAUCAUCGCGAGAAGAGGUUUUUUAAUGUAAAUUUAAAUUUGAUCGCCUUGAGGUGCAGGAGGAAAGUGGAGAGGGGCUCGGCUGCCGGAGUGUGCAU